rnacentral:rRNA from 1 species
ACGGAAGGCAGCAGUGAGGGAUAUUGGUCAAUGGGGGAAACCCUGAACCAGCAACGCCGCGUGUGGGAAGAAGGUCUUCGGAUUGUAAACCACUGUUUUCGGUGACGAAUAAAUGACGGUAACCGAGUAGGAAGCUCCGGCUAACUACGUGCCAGCAGCCGCGGUAAUACGUAGGGAGCAAGCGUUGUCCGGAUUUACUGGGUGUAAAGGGAGCGUAGGCGGGAGAGCAAGUCAGAAGUGAAAUCUAUCGGCUUAACUGAUAAACUGCUUUUGAAACUGUUCUUCUUGAGUGAAGUAGAGGUAGGCGGAAUUCCCGGUGUAGCGGUGGAAUGCGUAGAUAUCGGGAGGAACACCAGUGGCGAAGGCGGCCUACUGGGCUUUAACUGACGCUGAGGCUCGAAAGCAUGGGUAGCAAACAGGAUUAGAUACCCUGGUA